AUGAGCAGCAAAGCAAGCAGUCGUCCUGAUGGGAACGCACCACGGGUUGACUCUCGCGAGCGAGUCGUGAGAAGGCACCAAUGCAGCUCGCGUCUUAACCGUCGCUUGCUCCCGCGGUGCGUCUCAGCCCUGGCUCCGAGCGCAGCGCAGAGCGGACCGUUACGGUCCCCACCUCGGAAACCAGAGCCGGCGGCGGUGGCAGCCGGCCACAGCAGCUCCGGCGUCGAUUUAAGUUCGCGCAAGAUUUGGUUUGCGCUGGUCUUUCCAGAAGCCAGAAGGCACAACAUUGUUGUCGUCGUUUCACAGUAUUUCCCCCUUUCACUGUUAACACGUGAGCUCAACCACGCGUUACUGACGGCAGCGAAGCGCAAAGGCACCGUGAGACCCGCAGCGUUUUCGCCAGUACUCACCGACGGCGAGCUGAGUCUGUUCCCCGCCGCCAAAGCAAGCAGCCUUUGACUUAACGUUCAAAAAGAUGCUACUGCUCUUCAGCUGUCUGAAAACUCACCUGAUUUCAUCUACCCUACUGUCACGCACACACUAACCCGAGACGGUGACCGGGGAGCAGGCACACCGCGCUGCAGAGCCUGCCGGGAAAGC
rnacentral:lncRNA from 1 species